rnacentral:lncRNA from 10 species
CAGAAUCGUGGGGAAGCGUUUCCUGUGGGACAAGACAGGCGUGAGCUCCUGCAAAGGGGCCCAGAAUGGUGGGGAAGCAGAACUUCUGCCUCCAACUCACUUUCUCACCGUGCAACUGCGGAUCCAGAGGAAUCUCUGCACCUGGCCUGGACACCCCAUGACAGUGGCAACCCCUCCCCUAGCGGUGACAAACAUAAAGUUGGGACAUACAUGAUCAGUCUUGGGGAAGGAAGCAGAAGCAAUGGUGGAAUAGGACAAAGAUAAAGGAAAGAGGUGGAAAGUGAUGAACACAGACCGCGAUGACCCGGUGUGGGGUGAUAUGGGCUGACUGCAAUUUGGUGGCUCUACUGUACCCUGUGCAACGGGUAUAGAAGACAGAAUCAGAGAGGCUCAGCAAAUGCCAGAACUCAAAUUCAAGCGCAACUCUGCCUGAUGGAAACUCAGGUGAUUUCCACUCUGCCUCCACCUGCAUUCCUCAGCACCCUGCAGUUGGUCCCCAGACUCUAUGCUCCAUGCUGCUUGUGUUUGUUGGUUGGCUGGUUUCGUGUUCAUGUGUUCUGGCUUCUUCAUUUUGGGUCUUUACAU